rnacentral:rRNA from 1 species
CCAGACUCCUACGGGAGGCAGCAGUGAGGAAUAUUGGUCAAUGGCCGGGAGGCUGAACCAGCCAAGUCGCGUGAGGGAAGACGGCCCUACGGGUUGUAAACCUCUUUUGUCAGGGAGCAAGGUGCAGGUCGGGACCUGCUGUGAGAGUACCUGAAGAAAAAGCAUCGGCUAACUCCGUGCCAGCAGCCGCGGUAAUACGGAGGAUGCGAGCGUUAUCCGGAUUUAUUGGGUUUAAAGGGUGCGCAGGCGGGGGCACAAGUCAGGGGUAAAAUCGCGGGGCUCACCCCCGCCCCGCCGUUGAAACUGGCGGGCUGGAGUUGGAGAGAAGUACGCGGAAUGCGCGGUGUAGCGGUGAAAUGCUUAGAUAUCGCGCAGAACCCCGAUUGCGAAGGCAGCGUACCGGCUCCACACUGACGCUGAGGCACGAAAGCGUGGGUAUCGAACAGGAUUAGAUACCCCGGUA